UGUUUCUAUAAUUUAUAAAGAAUAUUGCUUUGAAGAUGCAAAAGAGGUAUUUAUUACCUGGGGAUAA
rnacentral:tRNA from 1 species